UCUACAAAUUCUUUGGUUUGAUAUGAAGGAAAGAUAUGAUCAUCAGAAAACAGUGAUUUUGUUUAAAGCUCGUUAUAUAUGAUUGGAUUCAUAUGAGAAUUCAAGUAUGUAAGCGAGUAUAACUCAGUCUUGUUUAAAUUAUUUUCAUAUUGAAAUUAUGUGGAGAGAAAAUCAUAUGCAAAUAAGUUAGAAAAUCAUGGAUCCACAUAAUUCCAAUUUGAAAGUGAUGAGCUCUAUUCAGUUAUAGACUUGAAGUCUUGUAAUCUCUUAUGAAUCUAAUCAUAGCGAGCUUUAGGUAAUAUCACAGUUUUCUAUGAUCAUACCUUUACUUUAAAUCAUUCCAAAGUAUUUGUGGA